AUCGCUUCUCGGCCUUUUGGCUAAGAUCAAGUGUAGAAUAAGGUAACCAAACAAGAGUUAAAGUUUUUUGGGCAUUUAUUAUACACUGCCCGAUAAGCCUCCCAUCCUUAGUACAUCCAAAUGGAUCUCUGGAUGCUGCCCAC
ensembl:snRNA U2 U2 spliceosomal RNA